AUUGAACGCUGGCGGCAGGCUUAACACAUGCAAGUCGAGCGGAGCGAGGGUGCUUGCACCUUAGCUUAGCGGCGGACGGGUGAGUAAUGCUUAGGAAUCUGCCUAUUAGUGGGGGACAACAUUCCGAAAGGAAUGCUAAUACCGCAUACGCCCUACGGGGGAAAGCAGGGGAUCUUCGGACCUUGCGCUAAUAGAUGAGCCUAAGUCGGAUUAGCUAGUUGGUGGGGUAAAGGCCUACCAAGGCGACGAUCUGUAGCGGGUCUGAGAGGAUGAUCCGCCCACCUGGGACUGAGACACGGCCCAGACUCCUACGGGAGGCAGCAGUGGGGAAUAUUGGACAAUGGGCGGAAGCCUGAUCCAGCCAUGCCGCGUGUGUGAAGAAGGCCUUUUGGUUGUAAAGCACUUUAAGCGAGGAGGAGGCUACUUAGAUUAAUACUCUGGGAUAGUGGACGUUACUCGCAGAAUAAGCACCGGCUAACUCUGUGCCAGCAGCCGCCGUAA
rnacentral:rRNA from 1 species